AUUGAACGCUGGCGGCAUGCUUUACACAUGCAAGUCGAACGGUAACAGGCCUUCGGGUGCUGACGAGUGGCGAACGGGUGAGUAAUGCAUCGGAACGUACCCAGAGGUGGGGGAUAACGCAGCGAAAGCUGUGCUAAUACCGCAUGUGAUCUGAGGAUGAAAGCGGGGGACCGCGCAGCAAUGUUUGGCCUCGCGCCUUUGGAGCGGCCGAUGUCGGAUUAGCUAGUUGGUGGGGUAAAGGCCUACCAAGGCGACGAUCCGUAGCUGGUCUGAGAGGACGACCAGCCACACUGGGACUGAGACACGGCCCAGACUCCUACGGGAGGCAGCAGUGGGGAAUUUUGGACAAAGGGCGCAAGCCUGAUCCAGCAAUGCCGCGUGCGGGAAGAAGGCCUUCGGGUUGUAAACCGCUUUUGGCAGGAACGAAACGGUGUCCGCUAAUACCGGGCGCUAAUGACGGUACCUGCAGAAUAAGCACCGGCUAACUACGUG
rnacentral:rRNA from 1 species